GCCUGGAUGGCUCAGUGGUUGAGCAUUUGCCUUUGGCUCAGGUCAUGAUCCUGGGGUCUUGGGAUCAAGUCCCAUAUCAGGCU
rnacentral:tRNA from 1 species